rnacentral:rRNA from 1 species
CGGAUCGAUUAGCCAUGCUAGUCGCACGAGUUCAGACUCGUGGCAUAUAGCUCAGUAACACGUGGCCAAACUACCCUACAGACCGCGAUAACCUCGGGAAACUGAGGCCAAUAGCGGAUAUCACUCUCAGACUGGAGUGUCGAGAGUGAGAAACGUUCUGGCGCUGUAGGAUGUGGCUGCGGCCGAUUAGGUAGAUGGUGGGGUAACGGCCCACCAUGCCGAUAAUCGGUACGGGUUGUGAGAGCAAGAGCCCGGAGACGGUAUCUGAGACAAGAUACCGGGCCCUACGGGGCGCAGCAGGCGCGAAACCUUUACACUGCACGACAGUGCGAUAGGGGGACUCCGAGUGUGAGGGCAUAUAGCCCUCGCUUUUCUGUACCGUAAGGUGGUACAGGAACAAGGACUGGGCAAGACCGGUGCCAGCCGCCGCGGUAAUACCGGCAGUCCAAGUGAUGGCCGAUAUUAUUGGGCCUAAAGCGUCCGUAGCCGGCCGUGCAAGUCCAUUGGGAAAUCGACCAGCUCAACUGGUCGGCGUCCGGUGGAAACUACCCAGCUUGGGGCCGAGAGACUCAACGGGUACGUCCGGGGUAGGAGUGAAAUCCUGUAAUCCUGGACGGACCACCAAUGGGGAAACCACGUUGAGAGACCGGACCCGACAGUGAGGGACGAAAGCUAGGGUCUCGAACCGGAUUAGAUACCCGGGUAGUCCUAGCUGUAAACGAUGCUCGCUA